AACUCAGUACCUGAAGGCCUGCAUACAAUUGUCAAUCUGUAUAUUGUUAUUUCCUAUUAACUUGUUCUAUUUUUAUUCUUUUAUUGUCUGUGUUUUUGUCCUGUCAUUCUGUUGCACUGUGGAAGCUUCAGUCAUGAAAACAAAUCCCUCGUAUGUGUAAAAAAAUACCUGGCAAUAAAGCUCAUUCUGAUUCUGAUUAUAUAUAGAUCAGUGAGUGUGACACUUUUUGUACCAGUUAAUGGACUUCCCAAUACUGUACCAGUCAACAUUCUGCCCGUUUAUAAAGAACUUGCAUUUAUGUAUUUUUUAAUUAUUGGAUGUACCUGUCUGCAGUGUUUGGGGCGUGGCUACUGUAGCAGGCUGAACCAGCGAGUAUUUAUCGGAAAAUAAAUUCAGAUUACGAAAGUGCAAGGCAAAAUUCGAAGACUUGCCAAAUAACACAGAAAGCGACAAUGGUGUAAAAUAAGGAUAAACACUAGAGCAAUUUUUCUUUUACAAGAUGGAGGCAUUUGAUGGAAUGUUACGGUUUCAAUCUAUACGACGAAUUUGCGGAGUUUCUUCUCGACAGGAGCUGAGCAGAGCGAUUUACAGGCUGUCGGGUUGGCUUUGUUCCCGUGUAAGUCAAGUCUCGAUGGAGAAGAGACGCAUCAGUGCUCCAAAUGGCCCCAGCCGUCUCAUUGCAUUAUCUUCAAAUGGCACGUCUGAUGGAGAA